rnacentral:misc_RNA from 1 species
UCUCCGUAGGUGAACCUGCGGAGGGAUCAUUACAAGUGACCCCGGUCUUACCACCGGGAUGUUCAUAACCCUUUGUUGUCCGACUCUGUUGCCUCCGGGGCGACCCUGCCUUCGGGCGGGGGCUCUGGGUGGGCACUUCAAACUCUUGCGUAACUUUGCAGUCUGAGUAAACUUAAUUAAUAAAUUAAAACUUUUAACAACGGAUCUCUUGGUUCUG